AAGGAAAAGAAGAGAGAGAGAGAAAGAAGAUCAGGGAAGAGAGAGAGAGAGAGAGAGAAAAGGGGAAGGCGGUGGCGUGCGUCGUCGGUGGCGGCUUCGGAAGUGCGCGGGCUGGCCGUCGGAGCAGCAGGCGGCGGGCGCGAGCGUGCGGCGGAGAACGGCAGCGUCUGGCAGCGGGAAUCGCGCGUAGGAGCAGCGGCUUCCGGAGGCCGUUUCGGCGGUGUUGGCGGCCGAGUCGGGUGGCGAUCGGCUCCUCUCGGCAAGGGCUCUCUUCUGGCAGCAGUGGCGACGCCUGGGGUGGCCGGAGUUGCAAGAUCCGGCAAAGUGAAAUUUAGAGUGGCAGCCGGCGUUUUUCAGCUUUUCCGGCGAGCUCCGGCGGAGGAUGGACGAUCGGAGGACGUAUCCCGACUCUCCUCAGCUCAAGCUUCGCAUUGGCACCGGUUUCGUGGCGAUCGGGCUUCGUUUGUGAAUCGACGGCCGAGAUCGUCUGUAAAUCUUUUCGGAUGAUUGGGUGUCAGGUCGGAAAAUCGAAAGUGGGGAUCGUCGUCAGCGCGUCGUUUCGAGUCCAAUGGUGAGUUCGGAUCGUCAAUCGGACUCCGGCAGCUGGAGGCGAUCGACCGAGCGAUCGAGCAUCUCAAUGAUCUGUCUGUUUGGCUCGCUCCAACUGAGGGACCGGAGCAGAGCUAGGAGGUCGCCCAAAACCUUAGAACAUGCCACCUGGUGGGUUGCAUCAGGACCGCGUGCGUACCGGUAAUGAUCAAAGAUAGGUAAUAAGGUUAUUAUGGAUUUGUUUGCCCUGAUCGAGCAUUGCUCUCUAGGCUGAGUUCAGUUGAUUGCCGGAGUUAAGGUCCUUGAUCGAGCAACGCUCUCUGGGCGUCGGCUUAUUUGGAAUUCAA